ACAGAUUCUGUUAAAUCAAGAACACAAACAGCGAAAAUAAAAAGUAUAGCCGAGUUGACUUAUUCAUUGAGGCCUAUCGCAGAGAGUAAAGUUAUAAACUCGCUUGCAAAUCACAAGCUCAUUUAAACGGACCAAAGUUCAAAAAGUGCACUUUGAUAUCUGAUUAAAGCAAAAGGAGCCAGUGACUGCAACUGAAGACUGAAGACGAUAUCAUGGUGUACAGACUCUCAGCAUUCGUGGAGGUAUUUCAAGUUCUGCCGCAGUGGUUUCUUAUAUUUGGAAUAUUUAUCCCUGUUUUUCUGCUCUUGUUGCUGAUAAUCGCUUACCUCAGAUUGAAACUAAUGGAAGUGAACAAUGAGCUGGCCAUCAAUCAAGAUUCUAAAGACAUUAAGGACAUUAAAAAACGCACUCAUCACCGUUCAACUGAAUAUAGAGCACGAACUACAAUUUGUAGCAAGUGAAUCUCAACAAAGACAGAACCUUAUUUUAAUAAGUAGACUGUGGUCACAUUAGAACUUAUUGUACUAUCACAGUUGUAUAUUCCUUCAAUUAAAAACAAAUCAAAAUACGACCAACCCAAUGAAAUUGAUGGCAAAUUAUCAUAGUCUCAAUGCUUGUGAUGCCUGCUUGAGAGAUAACACAAACAGAUAUUAGUGUUGCUGCAUCAGUCCAUUUGAUGUGUAAAAUCUUUUGCAGUCAACUUUGAUGGUAUGAUGGUUAAUAUUUUGAGGAGCCUCCUGUAUAUAGUCCAUAUUUUAGGGGCUAUACCAUAAGUGAGGGAUCGUGAAUGAAUGGAAGAUCAUGAGCUUGAUUUCAGAUUUAAUAUUAAGAUUUUCACACACCUAGUUCCUCCAACAACUGAAGGCUGCACCAGCAUAUUUCAGUCAAUACUGUCAAUGUUAGUCUCUUGCAAAAGAUAGCCUGCAAGAUGCUAGAAACUAUUCCACACUUUCCAGGUACUCAUCAUGAAUCCUAGUCAAUGGAGCUGGGGUGCAAACAGCUUGAUGAUUGAAGAUUUUGACCUUCUGAAUGUUGACCGUGAACCCAAUUUUCUCUUGUGCCUCAAUAUGUUAAUGAUUCUCUGAAGUCCAGUUUCUGACGUCACUAACUGCAGCAUCAUCAUUGUAUUCAACAGCUGAAGUUGAGGUGGUCUUAAUUUUUGAUUGGAGUCAUCUGAAGUUUAAUAGUUUACAGUUCAUUACUAAAUAAGGUGCUGCCCAACGGGGAGAUUAUGUCUGGUCAUAUGGAGAAUGAUCCUGGCUUAAUCUACAAUUAGCUCUGUAAGAAGUCCCAUUGUUCAAGAUCACCACUUGCAUAUUAGCAUGAAGCAGAUGAGGAAGAAUUUGAGGAUAUCCAUACUUCAGAAUCGUCCAGAGUUUUGCACAGUUUACAGAGGCAAAGGUUCAGUCAAAAAAUGGUCAGCAACUUACUAAUCCAAUCAUGUCUAUCAAACUGUCCCUAAACGACAGACACAACAGAAGAGGAUCCAUGAAAGAUCAAUGUCAGGAUUCUGAAAGAUCCAAUCAAAAGCAACCAAUUUCAACAAUGUCUUUGGAAUGAAAACUAUGAAACUUCAAUCAAAGAUAGAAAAUGUGUCCACAGUCCUUGGGACAUCCUUAAGCCAAUUAUCAUCUAUGCCUGUAAAGAAAUACUUGGAUUUUCGGUCAGGAAGUUUAAUAAAAAUCAUGAGGAUUGAAAUCUAGCAAGUGCAAUACUGUCUCUGCCUGGCAGAAUGACCCAAAUCCAAAGCAAAAGAAACUAGCAAUACAAUAACCUCACUGACAUGACAUUUUCCUCUUCACAAAGACCACUCAUGAUCAAAAUUCUCAAGCACCAGAUCCUCCAAGGCCUCAGGAUGGGGGCGGGGGGAGAUCUUGCAGGAAAGUGGUGUUUAAAGAAAGUUUUAAAAUUUUAAAUUGUAAACAUUUUGUGUAAAGAAUGUGGUGUUCAAACCAUUCUGAAUCAUAGUAUACUUUAUAGUUGCCCCGCCUCUACAGAUCAUGAUGUAACUGAAAAUUACCUGAGCAAAAAGUUAAACGUUUUAACAAUUUAUCCAUAUUAAUUUAUAUUAAAGUGUUUAUGGGUUUUAAA